UUCAUCAGAGUGAUGAUAUUCUGCUCAUCAUCUGUUCUUUGUUUUCUGUUCCUUUCUUGAUAAAACUGGAAAAAUGUCUGAAAUGAAAGUUUUUUUCACAUAUUAAUCAUCAACCAUAGAAGCUGUUUCGUAUUAUUGCAUCUUGAUUUAUGAUCCACGGUCAGACACAAACAGAUUUCAGUUCUUCUGAUUGUUGACGCUGCCAUCUUUAAGGGACUGGAAAUGUCUGGUCGUGACUUUGGAAAAACAACAUAGCCUUCAGUUUCGUUUGACCUGAGUGCUGCAGUGCUCACCAGAGCAACCUGUGACCUUUUAUUAACAUAUUGCGCACACCUGUGUAAAUCUCCACCAACAACAGGAAGUCAACAAGAACAUCAACAAUAAGAUUCAACAAUGAUAAAUGUAGUUUUUGUUUUAAUACAGAUCUUCUAUCACCAACCUGAUCUCCUUCAUCUCCAUCGAGUUUGUCUUCAAGAGGAACUAAACCCCACAUCGACUUGUUUCUGAAGUUUGGGCAGUAAGACGUAGGACAAGAUGGACAGGAAAAUGACAACACAGGCUACGAUGAAAUAACCGAAUGCUGCGUCCUCCAGCUCAGAACCACCUGGAGGAAGUGACACAACUUGCAAUGGCACAGAUCAUAGAAGCAGCAGCGAAGGUUCCAGCGAGUCCUUGGCCGCUCAUGAUGGGAGUGGUGUACGAC